rnacentral:rRNA from 1 species
CACGUAGGGCGCGAGCGUUGUCCGGAAUUAUUGGGCGUAAAGAGCUCGUAGGCGGUCUGUCGCGUCGGCUGUGAAAACCCGGGGCUCAACCCCGGGCCUGCAGUCGAUACGGGCAGACUAGAGUGCGGUAGGGGGAGACUGGAAUUCCUGGUGUAGCGGUGAAAUGCGCAGAUAUCAGGAGGAACACCGAUGGCGAAGGCAGCUCGCUGGGACGGUACUGACGCUGAGACGCGAAAGCGUGGGGAGCGAACAGG